UACGUAGGGGGCAAGCGUUGUCCGGAUUUACUGGGCGUAAAGGGUGCGUAGGCGGAUAUUUAAGUCAGAUGUGAAAUACCCGGGCUCAACUCGGGUGCUGCAUUUGAAACUGGAUAUCUAGAGUGCGGGAGAGGUAAGUGGAAUUCCUAGUGUAGCGGUGAAAUGCGUAGAGAUUAGGAAGAACACCAGUGGCGAAGGCGACUUACUGGACCGUAACUGACGCUGAGGCAUGAAAGCGUGGGGAGCAAACAGG
rnacentral:rRNA from 1 species